GAGGAGUUAGCGAAAUUCCAAUGUGUGCGAAUCGGCAAAAAAUGCAAAAUAGCCCUUUUACCGUACAUUAUACAGAUACGCGCUCUUUGACUUUUUCGUAGAUCUAAUUGAGAUACACAUGAUUGUCAAUUUUUGUGUCAUUUUGCCAAAGCGUACAGGCGUGACAGUCAACAAUGUGUAUUUUCACCUUAGGGGACAAGAAAAAAUGGACUUUUUUCUCCUGCCAUGGGGGGGCGCUCUUUUGGGGAGUAAAAAUUCCUUCACAAAUGUGUUGAUGGCUGGACAUUGCAUCAUCCUAGAAAACUUGGAGGCCAGUGAGGACAAAAAUAAAAAGUUAUAAGACUUUUAAAAAUGUGGAUUUUUGGGUUAUCUUUGGCGCCCCCUAGAACGUAAACCGUGGGGUGCAGCGUCAUGAUUUGAAUAACUUUUAAUGGCCAUGGGGUGUAAUUUGGCCUGAGCAAAUGUGGUGCCGGUGGAACGAAAGCCUUCGGAGGAGUUAGCGAAAUUCCAAUGUGUGCGAAUCGGCAAAAAAUGCGGAAUAACCCUUUAACCGUACAUUAGACAGAUACGCGCGCAUGGACUUUUUUGUAGAUCUUAUUGAGAUACAUGUGUGUGUCAAUUUUUGUGUCAUUUUGACAAAGCGUACAGGCGUGACACUCAACAAUGUGUAUUUUCACCUUAGGGGACAAGAAAAAAUGGACUUUUUUCUCCUGCCAUGGGGGGCGCUCUUUUGGGGAGUAAAAAUUCCUUCACAAAUGUGUUGAUGGCUGGACAUUGCAUCAUCCUAGAAAACUUGGAGGCCAGUGAGGGCAAAAAUAAAAAGUUAUAAGACUUUUAAAUAUGUGGAUUUUAGGGUUAUCUUUGGCGCCCCCUAGAACCUAAACCGUGGGGUGCAGCGUCAUGAUUUGAAUAACUUUUAAUGGCCAUGGGGUGUAGAUUGGCCUGAGCAAAUGUGGUGCCGGUGGAACGAAAGCCUUCGGAGGAGUUAGCGAAAUUCCAAUGUGUGCGGAUCGGCAAAAAAUGCGAAAUAACCCUUUAACCGUACAUUUGACAGAUACGCCCGCACUGACUUUUUUGUAGAUCUUAUUGAGAUACAUGUGUGUGUCAAUUUUUGUGUCAUUUUGACAAAGCGUACAGGCGUGACACUCAAUAGUGUGAAUUUUCACCUUAGGGGGCGCUAUGGAGCCAUUUUGCAUUUUCUUGUUUGGGCGACUUCGGAAUAUCAAAUUUUUCACCAGGCCCGGUUGUCCUGCCAAAUUUCAUGAGUUUUCGCCAGUGGGAAGUGGGCCAUUUUCCAGUUCAAAGGGGAGGAAAAAGAAAAAAGAAACAAAGACUAGGGCCCCGUUGGGGCACUGGCGGGCCCGAGCCGCGUUGCGCCGCCCCCAGUGCGACCGCCUCCCCCUCCCGAUCGCGUCACACUCAAGGUCCAAAGAUGGUGUGCGCACUUGUCUGUGGUCAUUUCCCAUUAUAAUGAAUGGGAGGCGCAGUUUCUACCAAAACACUCGCUGCAGACAAACUACAUGUCCUAUUUGAAAAAAGUCUGGACCAUGAGUGAGGGCACAAACACAGCUAGGAUAUAUCCAAACGGCAAGUUGCUCCUCGUUACGGUGUUGCCGGGAGAGCGAUGCGAUUGAGCCAUUGAGUGAUGGGCAGGAAAAACUUGACUGUUUCUCCUGCCAUGGGGGAUGGGGGAUGGGAGGGGGGAAAGGGAUGUGGAUUCUUUUAAGAAUGUGGAUAUUUGGGUCAUCUUUGGCGCCCCCUAGAACGUAAACCGUGGGGUGCAGCGUCAUGAUUUUUAAAACUUUGAAUGGCCAUGGGGUGUAGAUUGGCCUGAGCAAAUUUGGUGUCAGUGGGACGAAAGCCUUAGGAGGAGUUAGCCACAUUCCAAUGUGUGCUAAUCAGCAAAAAAUGCAAAAUAGCCCUUUAACCGUACAUUUUACAGAUACGCGCGCAUUGACUUUUUCGUAGAUCUUAUUGAGAUACAUGUGUGUGUCAAAUUUUGUGUCAAUAUGACAAAGCAUACAGGUAUGACAGUCAACAAUGUGUAUUUUCACCUUAUGGGACAAGAAAAAAUGGACUUUUUUCUCCUGCCAUGGGGGGGCGCUCUUUUAGGGAGUAAAAAUUCCUUCACAAAUGUGUUGAUGGCUGGACAUUGCAUCAUCCUAGAAAACUUGGAGGCCAGAGAGGACAAAAAUAAAAAGUUAUAAGACUUUUAAAUAUGUGGAUUUUAGGGUUAUCUUUGGCGCCCCCUAGAACCUAAACCGUGGGGUGCAGCGUCAUGAUUUGAAUAACUUUUAAUGGCCAUGGGGUGUAGAUUGGCCUGAGCAAAUGUGGUGCCGGUGGAACGAAAGCCUUCGGAGGAGUUAGCGAAAUUCCAAUGUGUGCGGAUCGGCAAAAAAUGCGCAAUAACCCUUUAACCGUACAUUUGACAGAUACGCCCGCACUGACUUUUUUGUAGAUCUUAUUGAGAUACAUGUGUGUGUCAAUUUUUGUGUAAUUUUGACAAAGCGUACAGGCGUGACAGUCAAUAGUGUGAAUUUUCACCUUAUGGAACAAGAAAAAAUGGACUUUUUUCUCCUGCCAUGGGGGGGCGCUCUUUUGGGGAGUAAAAAUUCCUUCACAAAUGUGUUGAUGGCUGGACAUUGCAUCAUCCUAGAAAACUUGGAGGCCAGUGAGGGCAAAAAUAAAAAGUUAUAAGACUUUGAAAUAUGUGGAUUUUAGGGUUAUCUUUGGCGCCCCCUAGAACAUAAACCGUGGGGUGCAGCGUCAUGAUUUGAAUAACUUUUAAUGGCCAUGGGGUGUAGAUUGGCCUGAGCAAAUGUGGUGCCGGUGGAACGAAAGCCUUCGGAGGAGUUAGCGAAAUUCCAAUGUGUGCGGAUCGGCAAAAAAUGCGAAAUAACCCUUUAACCGUACAUUUGACAGAUACGCCCGCACUGACUUUUUUGUAGAUCUUAUUGAGAUACAUGUGUGUGUCAAUUUUUGUGUCAUUUUGACAAAGCGUACAGGCGUCAGGUGAAUUUUUCACCUUAGGGGGCGCUAUGGAGCCAUUUUGCAUUGUAUUGUUUGGGCGACUUCAGAAUAUCAAAUUUUUCACCAGGCCCGGUCGUCCUGCCAAAUUUCAUGAGUUUUCGCCAGUGGGAAGUGGGCCAUUUUCCAGUUCAAAGGGGAGGAAAAAUAACUAGGACCCCGUUGGGGCACUGGCGGGCCCGAGCUGUGUCGCGUCCCCCCCCCAACGCGCUGCCUCCCCGUCCCAUUUGUGUCCUCUGGCCAUCGCCCUCUCUGGUAACGCCCAUCACUGCAAAGACCCUUUUCCUUCAUCGGCGUUUGCUGUUCUUCCUGCCAGUGCGUGUUGCUUUCACUUACACUUGCCACAGCCAGCCUCGUGAGUGCCUAGCCUAUUGGAUAUCACUGUCACCUACACAGGACAGUCAUUACCUUUCUAUUAAUACUUUGUUUUUUAAUUUCACAUUAAUUUCCAUAUUGUAUAAACAACUGGAAAAAACUUGAGCCCCUGCCCCUGUAUAAUCAUGUGCACGUCUCUGUUCUAGCUCUAAGGUGAAUCUUCACUGCUCAUGUUCUCCUCAGAAGCAGUCACCUCACUCCCCUCAGGUUACUGUACACAUGCACCAACUGCCUGCUUCAGGUUUGGAUGGAGCUUCAUGGUUGUCUUUUGGAGAAAUGACCAGUCAAGUUGUGUUUGAAAUAUGAUUUUUUUCAGGGGCAAAAGGAGCCUCUGCAUUCUUGUCAAAUAUGUAAAUAGCAUGUUUUUGCAGGUGCUAAAAACCAGACUCUGAGUGUGUGUGUGUGCGUGUGUGUGUGUGUCUGUGUGUGUGUGUGUGUGUGUGUGUGUGUGUGUGUGUGUGUGUGUGUGUGUGUGUGCGUUCAAGUCACAUGACAUAUUUAACCGGAUGUAGCUGCAAGACGGAGCCUCGUUGACUCUCCGUUUCAAUUUAUCUCAAAAGUGAGGACCUCAACCUAUAUACCAGUUUUUAAAUUGUGUUGAUAGGCCAAAUAAAACCAGAGUUAUGAUAAAUUAUGUCCACGAUACUUGUUUUCUGCUUAUUUUGAUCACGUUCGGCGCUCGAUCGCGCUGUAUGAGACAGGAAAACAUAGCAUGCAGACAUUAGCGACAGGUCUUACAGGCGGAAAAGGCUUGCCAAAGGAAAAAAAAAACACACACCACAACAUCUCUCCUAUUGGUGGAAAACUUCACCACAACAACCAAUCCAAAAUUAUAUGGUGACUGAUUGACAAGGGGCGGGAACUUACGUUCUUCCUGCAAUAUGAGAAGGGAGGGAGGGACUCUCAGCAGGGAUGCAGUCUGGGACACGUAGUUGCAAACCUAGCGACUUUGUUGUUAGAUUCAAUGACUUUUCAGACCCCCUAACGACUUUUUUUUAGAAAGAAAGUGACUUUUAUCGACUUCUUCUGGAGUUUAGAGACUCUGACAUGAAGCAGGCUUUCCUUACUGAGGAGUUAGCAACGCUGCUAAGGGUGCAGAGCCACACAUGCGCUCCGAGCUCUGCAUGGGAGACUGAAGCUGACAGAGCUGCAGCAGUUAGCAGGUUUCACCCUCAGAGACCACCAGGGGUUCAUGUUGAGGCAUUUUCAGUUUUUUUUUUUUUUUUUUUUGCCAUAGACACUGUCAGCACAAUCUGCAGUUACACUAACAAAAAUGCUGCAAAAAACAAAGAAUUAUGGAAAAAUUACACAUGGACUAACAUAGAGGAGGAUCUACACAAGUUUUUUACAUCAUGUUUUACAUCAUGCAUCAUUUACAUCAUGUUUUUUUGUAGUGGCAUAAAUAAAAAGUGACAUUUGUGAGACUAUACAGUGUUUUGUAAAUAAUUUUACAAAGAACACCUGGGCCAUUGCCUGCAUUUUGAUGUCAAUAGAGGUAAAUUACUAUGUUCUUUGUUAAAAAUUUGCAUAUGUUUUGAAGUUUACAAUUUUUAAUUGAAGUUUAAGUUUUAAAAACAGUUCAUCACACAUAUUUGUGGUUUUCACAGUAAAAACGUUACUUUUUUCCACUCGGAUUUUAUGUUUUGUGUGUGAAUUUGGGUCCAAUGUGUAAAUAUAGUAUGUCAAAAUGAUAAAAUAACUGUAAAUUGACACAGGUGAGGUUGUGCUGAAAAAAAUGAUACCAGGCAAGGCAAGGUAAAAAUUUUGUAAGAGGAAAUAUAAAGGUAAAAUCUAAAGUAGUCAAAAACGGCCAAUAGUGACUCACAGACUCCACAGACAAGUCCCUUUGGCGCCACUCAGUGGGCAAAACUACUUUGUCUACUGUAAUGUAUAUUUGGGUCAUCUUUGGCGCCCCCUAAAACGUAAACCGUGGGGUGCAGCGUCAUGAUUUUUACAACUUUGAAUGGCCAUGGAGUGUAGAUUGGCCUGAGCAAAUUUGGUGUCAGUGGGACGAAAGCCUUAGGAGGAGUUAGCGAAAUUCCAAUGUGUGUGAAUCGGCAAAAAAUGCAAAAUAGCCCUUUUACCGUACAUUAUACAGAUACGCGCUCUUUGACUUUUUCGUAGAUCUAAUUGAGAUACACAUGAUUGUCAAUUUUUGUGUCAUUUUGCCAAAGCGUACAGGCGUGACAGUCAACAAUGUGUAUUUUCACCUUAGGGGACAAGAAAAAAUGGACUUUUUUCUCCUGCCAUGGGGGGGCGCUCUUUUGGGGAGUAAAAAUUCCUUCACAAAUGUGUUGAUGGCUGGACAUUGCAUCAUCCUAGAAAACUUGGAGGCCAGUGAGGACAAAAAUAAAAAGUUAUAAGACUUUUAAAAAUGUGGAUUUUUGGGUUAUCUUUGGCGCCCCCUAGAACGUAAACCGUGGGGUGCAGCGUCAUGAUUUGAAUAACUUUUAAUGGCCAUGGGGUGUAAUUUGGCCUGAGCAAAUGUGGUGCCGGUGGAACGAAAGCCUUCGGAGGAGUUAGCGAAAUUCCAAUGUGUGCGAAUCGGCAAAAAAUGCGGAAUAACCCUUUAACCGUACAUUAGACAGAUACGCGCGCAUGGACUUUUUUGUAGAUCUUAUUGAGAUACAUGUGUGUGUCAAUUUUUGUGUCAUUUUGACAAAGCGUACAGGCGUGACACUCAACAAUGUGUAUUUUCACCUUAGGGGACAAGAAAAAAUGGACUUUUUUCUCCUGCCAUGGGGGGGCGCUCUUUUGGGGAGUAAAAAUUCCUUCACAAAUGUGUUGAUGGCUGGACAUUGCAUCAUCCUAGAAAACUUGGAGGCCAGUGAGGGCAAAAAUAAAAAGUUAUAAGACUUUUAAAUAUGUGGAUUUUAGGGUUAUCUUUGGCGCCCCCUAGAACCUAAACCGUGGGGUGCAGCGUCAUGAUUUGAAUAACUUUUAAUGGCCAUGGGGUGUAGAUUGGCCUGAGCAAAUGUGGUGCCGGUGGAACGAAAGCCUUCGGAGGAGUUAGCGAAAUUCCAAUGUGUGCGGAUCGGCAAAAAAUGCGAAAUAACCCUUUAACCGUACAUUUGACAGAUACGCCCGCACUGACUUUUUUGUAGAUCUUAUUGAGAUACAUGUGUGUGUCAAUUUUUGUGUCAUUUUGACAAAGCGUACAGGCGUGACACUCAAUAGUGUGAAUUUUCACCUUAGGGGGCGCUAUGGAGCCAUUUUGCAUUUUUUUGUUUGGGCGACUUCGGAAUAUCAAAUUUUUCACCAGGCCCGGUCGUCCUGCCAAAUUUCCUGAGUUUUCGCCAGUGGGAAGUGGGCCAUUUUCCAGUUCAAAGGGGAGGAAAAAGAAGAAAGAAAGAAACAAAGACUAGGGCCCCGGUGGGGCACUGGCGGGCCCGAGCCGUGUCUCGCCGCCCCCAGCGCGACCGCCUCCCCCUCCCGAUCGCGUCACACUCAAGGUCCAAAGAUGGUGUGCGCACUUGUCUGUGGUCAUUUACCAUUAUAAUGAAUGGGAGGCGCAGUUUCUACCAAAAUGCUCGCUGCAGACAAACUCCAUGUCCUUUUUGAAAAAAGUCUGGACCAUGAGUGAGGGCACAAACACAGCUUCCAUAUAUCCAAAUGGCAAGUUGCUCCUCCUUUCGGUUUUGCCGAGAGAGCGAUGCGUUUGAGCCAUUGGGCGAAGGGCAGGAAAAACUUAACUUUUUCUCCUGCCAUGGGGGGGGCGCUCUUUUGGGGAGAAAAAAUUCUUUCACAAAUGUGUUGAUGGCUGGACAUUGCAUCAUCCUAGAAAACUUGGAGGCCAGUGAGGACAAAAAUAAAAAGUUAUAAGACUUUUAAAUAUGUGGAUCUUAGGGUUAUCUUUGGCGCCCCCUAGAACCUAAACCGUGGGGUGCAGCGUCAUGAUUUGAAUAACUUUUAAUGGCCAUGGGGUGUAGAUUGGCCUGAGCAAAUGUGGUGCCGGUGGAACGAAAGCCUUCGGAGGAAUUAGCCACAUUCCAAUGUGUGCGAAUCUGCAAAAAAUGCGAAAUAACCCUUUAACCGUACAUUUUACAGAUACGCCCGCACUGACUUUUUUGUAGAUCUUAUUGAAAUACACGUGUAUGUAAAAUUUUGUGUCACUACGACAAAACAUACAGGCGUAGCACUCAACAAUGUGUAUUUUCACCUUAGUGGACAAGAAAAAAUUGACUUUUUUCUCCUGCCAUGGGGGGGCGCUCUUUUGCCGAGUAAAAAUUCCUUCACAAAUGUGUUGAUGGCUGGACAUUGCAUCAUCCUAGAAAACUUGGAGGCCAGUGGGGACAAAAAUAAAAAGUUAUAAGACUUUUAAAUAUGUGGAUUUUACGGUUAUCUUUGGCGCCCCCUAGAACGUAAACCGUGGGGUGCAGCGUCAUGAUUUUUACAACUUUGAAUGGCCAUGGGGUGUAGAUUGGCCUGAGCAAAUUUGGUUUCAGUGGGACGAAAGCCUUAGGAGGAGUUAGCCACAUUCCAAUGUGUGCGAAUCGGCAAAAAAUGCAAAAUAGCCCUCUAACCGUACAUUUUACAGAUACGUGGCCAUUGACUUUUUCGAAGAUCUUAUUGAAAUACACGUGUAUGUAAAAUUUUGUGUCAAUACGACAAAACAUACAGGCGUAGCACUCAACAAUGUGUAUUUUCACCUUAGUGGACAAGAAAAAAUUGACUUUUUUCUCCUGCCAUGGGGGGCGCUCUUUUGCCGAGUAAAAAUUCCUUCACAAAUGUGUUGAUGGCUGGACAUUGCAUCAUCCUAGAAAACUUGGAGGCCAGUGGGGACAAAAAUAAAAAGUUAUAAGACUUUUAAAUAUGUGGAUUUUACGGUUAUCUUUGGCGCCCCCUAGAACCUAAACCGUGGGGUGCAGCGUCAUGAUUUGAAUAACUUUUAAUGGCCAUGGGGUGUAGAUUGGCCUGAGCAAAUGUGGUGCCGGUGGAACGAAAGCCUUCGGAGGAGUUAGCGAAAUUCCAAUGUGUGCGGAUCGGCAAAAAAUGCGGAAUAACCCUUUAACCGUACAUUUGACAGAUACGCGCGCAUUGACUUUUUCGUAGAUCUUAUUGAGAUACAUGUGUGUGUCAAUUUUUGUGUCAUUUUGCCAAAGCGUACAGGUGUUACACCCAACAAUGUGUAUUUUCACCUUAGGGGACAAGAAAAAAUGGACUUUUUUCUCCUGCCAUGGGGGGGCGCUCUUUUGGGGAGUAAAAAUUCCUUCACAAAUGUGUUGAUGGCUGGACAUUGCAUCAUCCUAGAAAACUUGGAGGCCAGUGAGGGCAAAAAUAAAAAGUUAUAAGACUUUUAAAUAUGUGGAUCUUAGGGUUAUCUUUGGCGCCCCCUAGAACCUAAACCGUGGGGUGCAGCGUCAUGAUUUGAAUAACUUUUAAUGGCCAUGGGGUGUAGAUUGGCCUGAGCAAAUGUGGUGCCGGUGGAACGAAAGCCUUCGGAGGAGUUAGCGAAAUUCCAAUGUGUGCGGAUCGGCAAAAAAUGCGAAAUAACCCUUUAACCGUACAUUUGACAGAUACGCCCGCACUGACUUUUUUGUAGAUCUUAUUGAGAUACAUGUGUGUGUCAAUUUUUGUGUCAUUUUGACAAAGCGUACAGGCGUGACAAUGAAUAGUGUGAAUUUUCACCUUAGGGGGCGCUAUGGAGCCAUUUUGCAUUUUCUUGUUUGGGCGACUUCGGAAUAUCAAAUUUUUCACCAGGCCCGGUCGUCCUGCCAAAUUUCAUGAGUUUUCGCCAGUGGGAAGUGGGCCAUUUUCCAGUUCAAAGGGGAGGAAAAAUAAUAAUAAUAAUAACACUAGGGCCCCGUUGGGGCACUGGCGGGCCCGAGCCGUGUCACGCCGCCCCCAGCGCGACCGCCUCCCCCACCCGAUCGCGUCACACUCAAGGUCCAAAGAUGGUGUGCGCACUUGUUUGUGGUCAUUUACCAUUAUAAUGAACGGGAGGCGCAGUUUCUACCAAAACGCUCGCUGCAGAAAAACUCCAUGUCCUAUUUGAAAAAAGUCUGGACCAUGAGUGAGGGCACAAACACAGCUAAGAUAUAUCCAAAUGGCAAGUUGCUCCUCCUUUCGCUUUUGCCGAGAGAGCAGUGCGUUUGAGCCAUUGAAUGAUGAACAGGAAAAACUUGACUUUAUUCUCCUGCCAUGGGGGGCGCUCUUUUAAAGAGAAAAAACUCCUUCACAAAUGUGUUGAUGGCUGGACAUUGCAUCAUCCUAGAAAACAUGGAGGCCAGUGAGGACAAAAAUAAAAAGUUAUAAGACUUUUAAAUAUGUGGAUUUUAGGGUUAUAUUUGGCGCCCCCUAGAACCUAAACCGUGGGGUGCAGCGUCAUGAUUUGAAUAACUUUUAAUGGCCAUGGGGUGUAGAUUGGCCUGAGCAAAUAUGGUGCCGGUGGAACGAAAGCCUUCGGAGGAAUUAGUGAAAUUCCAAUGUGUGCUAUUCUGCAAAAAAUGCGAAAUAACCCUUUAACCGUACAUUUUACAGAUACGUGGCCAUUGACUUUUUCGAAGAUCUUAUUGAAAUACACGUGUAUGUAAAAUUUUGUGUCAAUACGACAAAACAUACAGGCGUAGCACUCAACAAUGUGUAUUUUCACCUUAGUGGACAAGAAAAAAUUGACUUUUUUCUCCUGCCAUGGGGGGGCGCUCUUUUGCCGAGUAAAAAUUCCUUCACAAAUGUGUUGAUGGCUGGACAUUGCAUCAUCCUAGAAAACUUGGAGGCCAGUGGGGACAAAAAUAAAAAGUUAUAAGACUUUUAAAUAUGUGGAUUUUACGGUUAUCUUUGGCUCCCCCUAGAACCUAAACCGUGGGGUGCAGCGUCAUGAUUUGAAUAACUUUUAAUGGCCAUGGGGUGUAGAUUGGCCUGAGCAAAUGUGGUGCCGGUGGAACGAAAGCCUUCGGAGGAGUUAGCGAAAUUCCAAUGUGUGCGGAUCGGCAAAAAAUGCGGAAUAACCCUUUAACCGUAAAUUUGACAGAUACGCGCGCAUUGACUUUUUCGUAGAUCUUAUUGAGAUACAUGUGUGUGUCAAUUUUUGUGUCAUUUUGCCAAAGCGUACAGGUGUUACACUCAACAAUGUGUAUUUUCACCUUAGGGGACAAGAAAAAAUGGACUUUUUUCUCCUGCCAUGGGGGGGCGCUCUUUUGGGGAGUAAAAAUUCCUUCACAAAUGUGUUGAUGGCUGGACAUUGCAUCAUCCUAGAAAACUUGGAGGCCAGUGAGGGCAAAAAUAAAAAGUUAUAAGACUUUUAAAUAUGUGGAUCUUAGGGUUAUCUUUGGCGCCCCCUAGAACCUAAACCGUGGGGUGCAGCGUCAUGAUUUGAAUAACUUUUAAUGGCCAUCGGGUGUAGAUUGGCCUGAGCAAAUGUGGUGCCGGUGGAACGAAAGCCUUCGGAGGAGUUAGCGAAAUUCCAAUGUGUGCGGAUCGGCAAAAAAUGCGAAAUAACCCUUUAACCGUACAUUUGACAGAUACGCCCGCACUGACU